GACGAACGCUAGCGGCGUGCUUAACACAUGCAAGUCGAACGGAAAGGCCCUGCUUUUGUGGGGUGCUCGAGUGGCGAACGGGUGAGUAACACGUGAGUAACCUGCCCUUGACUUUGGGAUAACUUCAGGAAACUGGGGCUAAUACCGGAUAGGAGCUCCUGCUGCAUGGUGGGGGUUGGAAAGUUUCGGCGGUUGGGGAUGGACUCGCGGCUUAUCAGCUUGUUGGUGGGGUAGUGGCUUACCAAGGCUUUGACGGGUAGCCGGCCUGAGAGGGUGACCGGCCACAUUGGGACUGUGAUACGGCCCAGACUCCUACGGGAGGCAGCAGUGGGGAAUAUUGCACAAUGGGCGGAAGCCUGAUGCAGCAACGCCGCGUGCGGGAUGACGGCCUUCGGGUUGUAAACCGCUUUCGCCUGUGACGAAGCGUGAGUGACGGUAAUGGGUAAAGAAGCACCGGCUAACUACGUG
rnacentral:rRNA from 1 species